UUAUUUGGUAACCUAGGUUUGUCUCGGAAUAUCUCACCCAGACUGCUCUCAAGCUCUCUCUGUCCAAGGGGGCUCGAGCAUGCCACACUCGGAUUCUCCCUUUGUUCGCUCGCGCGGGCUUCAUUCACUUGCACAUCAGAUUCUCGGAGCUCUCUCUCUCUGAUUCUUUAUUAUACCUAACUCAACUAAAAGAAGGUGGCAAGGCAUUUUGCUCGAGAGAAAUGAGUGGCAGUGGCAGAAAACGUAGUUCUAAGUGGGAUUUGAGAGAAGAGCGUCACUUUGAACCCAAAAAUGUAGCAGAUGAUUGUUGGCCUGGAAAAGCAGGUAUCUCUUUUCAUGAUAAAGAAUUAGAACCUGGAUGGCUCUCUCCAGAAGUUGCUGGUAGUAAUAAUUCAAAGUUAUAUGAUCUGGAGGCGAAUGAUUUGCUAAAGUCGAAGCGUGAUUUGGGAUUGGCAUCUGGAGAACCUUUGCCAAGAAGCAGAGGUUCACUUAAGGAUAAUAGCUUCAAUAAAGGCCGCAGCAGAAAUUGGGAACCCACUGUGGCAUGGGAGGAUGGAGAUGGAAGUUACAGCACAAAAAUGUCUCCUGGCCUUGAUGAAUGGAGACAGCAAAGUCGUAGUCACUCCCCUAAAAAUGGUUGGACCAGGUCACUCAGGGGUCGGAGUAGAAGUAGCAGGAGCCGGAGCAGGAGUAGAAGCCCUAUUCGAGGCAUUAGGCGGGAAUCAGGAUUCCAUGAGAGAAGUAGAAGCAGAGGAGCAUCAACUCAAUUAUGUAAAGAUUUUCUCGCUGGGAGAUGCAGGAGAGGCAAUCAUUGCCAGUUUCUUCACCAGGGUAAUCAACAUUAUGAGGAUAGCAGGGAAAGUAGACACAGUAAAGAUGGAGAUUCAAAAUAUUCCUCUCCACGUGAUACUAGGGACUAUACAUCAAGGGUAGGAAGAUCUACUACAUAUUGUACCGAGUUUAUGAGAGGAAAGUGUUGGAGGGGGGCAUCUUGCAGGUAUGCCCAUGAUGGUUCUUCUGAUGGUUUCAGUAAAGGGUCUGGAAAUGAUGUCAUUAGAGAAAGGGAAAGUCAUAGGAAUAGAGAUAUAUCUUUUGAGCGCGGUGGUGAGCCUGAACACCGCAGGGGUCGUGAUGUUCCUUGUAAAUUCUUUGCUGUGGGAAAUUGUCGUAAUGGGAAAUAUUGCCGGUUUUCUCAUCAUGGUCAGGCAGGUGUAAGUCCUGAUGGAAGGUCACGAGACGAUAGGUUGGGGCUGCGUCACAAUUCAGAUGAUGUGGAUCGGUCAUGGGAUGGACCAAAAUGGAGUGAAUGGGGUGAUCCAGUUAGUGUCUCAGAUGCUACAAGAAGUGGGGACAAUAAUGAAAAAUUGGGUACCCCAGAACCAAGGUUCAGUGCUUGGUCCAUGGAUGAUACUAGAUGGGGCCAUGGUUUGGACAAAGAGAAGAAAACUGGUGGCGAUCCCACAGUUGGUCAUAAAGCAGGUGUGAGCAAUGAGAAGGCCGGGAACCCGUGGAUGGAAGAAAAUGCUGGUGUUAGCAUGGGUGUUUCUGAAUCAAGAGGUGCUGAGAAAUGGCUCGGUGAUAUGGACAUGUCACCUGAUUGGAAUUAUAGCGUACAGUCUGCGAACCCCGUUGUGAAACAAGAGCAUGGUCACGCUACACAGGCUUCACAAUCUCUUGGUCCGUAUGAUACAUCUUCAGUGACUCGGGGACAGGAUAUAACUCAAGAGGCGUCAGUUCGGAUGCAUGAUGCGCUACCAAUAAUAAAUGAAAAAUCUUAUUUCCAACAUAACCACAAUUUGAUGGAGAAUGGUGCUAUUGUAUUGUCACGUGAUGAUAAAAAUGCAGUUGAAAAACCUGUUGGUUCGUGCAUUGAUCUAAAUUUUUCUGCCAAUAUCACGCCAGGACAAUUCUUUGACCAAAACGGCCGGAGUUUGAGCUCCUUACCUCUUUCAAAUAUAAGUUCUGUUGGACAAAAUCAAGUGGCAACACCCACUGCCCCUUCAAGAGGAGGAACUAUUAAAUAUCAGCAAAAUGUGGCAUUUUCUCCAGAGGGAAAAUCACUCAUCAAACCAGACAUUGUGGAUGUCAGUACAUCACAAUUAAAUCCUGGAAUUCCUCCUAGUCAGAGCGUGGUAAGUGGCGAUCAGCUCACCCAUUUUACCAAACUAAGAACCUCUCUGGCUCAGUUACUUGGAGAUGGACAACAGAUUCCACAACUUUAUGCUUCUCUAAACUCCCGUAAUUCAUUGGAUAUUCCUUCCUUUGCCAAGUCUGAAGCUUCUGUUCAGCCAGUUUUGGCAUCAUUCAUUCAGCCAGAUCCAGCCAUUGGAUCCCAGCAGUAUGAUCCUAUAUGUGAUAGCAUAGAGUCUAAGAAGCCUGACAGUAGUAAGAAUCAUUUAGGCUUUCCACCAACUCCAACUGGGCAGAAAAGUUCUCUAGAUGGAAAAUCAGAAAUGCCAUUUAAAAACAUGUCCCCAUCAUCUUUUCCUGGUGGACAAAAUGGCAGUGAUUUUCAUAGGACUGGCAUUUCAGAAGAACCAAAUCACAAGAGCCAUCAGACAAAUCAGCUGGAGACAGGUGCAAUCGGUGAGGUUGUUAUGGAAAAUAAUGGAUUUGGGGCUGAGGAAAGCAAGAAAGCACGAGAGGGGAGCCAAAAUGCCGAAGAGGAUGGUCCUUUGGAGAAUGCUGAUGGAGAUGCUGGAGUGGAUGAGGGCAAGAAAAGCAAAGAUGUGAAAGGUAUUCGUGCAUUUAAAUUUGCACUUGUGGAGUUUGUUAAGGAACUACUAAAACCCACAUGGAAGGAAGGCCAAAUCAGCAAAGAUGCUUACAAGACUAUAGUGAAGAAGGUAGUCGACAAAGUGACCAGUACCAUGCAAGCUGCUAAUAUCCCUCAGACAGAAGAGAAAAUUGACCAUUAUUUGUCAUCUUCAAAACCAAAACUUACCAAAUUAGUGCAGGCAUACGUGGAAAAAACUCAGAAGAGCUAAAUGAAACAUAAUUAGAACUUCAGUGUUUCUUUUGUUUAGUUUCUCUCCUCCGACAUACAGCAGGUGAAAGCCUCUAGGAAAAGGUCACAAAUAAUUGAUGGGAAAUGAUUAAAAAUGGAAGUAGACAAGCUACAAUGCUUGUCUAAAAAGGGAAAGCACUGUAGCAAAAUAUUGACAUUGUGUAUUUAUUAAAAGAUCUGUUGGAGUGCUCUUUCACCAUUUUAUUAGCUAAACUUAAGAGAAUGUGGGGAGCUUAGAACAUAUGUUGAAGAUGCUCAUAUGAAUCUAGACUCAUUUCUUAUAAGAAGAAUUCAAUACAUAGAAU